GGAAAUGUGCCCGAAUCAACAAGGACUACUUUGAUAGAGUAAGAUAUAGAGGUUAAAAUCCUCUCAUUUCCU
rnacentral:tRNA from 1 species